UUCAUGCUGCACCCAGGCCCCUGAGGAAGCUGCCAUUCCUUCCUGCUACUUCAAUCCCUGCUACCACCCUGGUUCUAGUCUUUUCUGAAGCCUGCUUCUUUAGUCUCUCCCUGUUGUUCCUCCCUAAGAGAAGCACCAGCAGGACAUCAGAGAACAGAAAAAGAAAGCACUCUGGACACUUCUCCUCCAACUCCCAGCUCUGUGUCAGCACCUUGGUUCUGGCAGUGGCUGUGCCCCUCCACAACUCCGGCUCCUCUCAGGCAUGUUCUAUGACUCUCACAGCACUCCAGUAACACCAUUCCUUUCCUCACUCCUUCAGACCUAAGGGUGGUCACAGCUUCCUGCUGCCUUCACCUCCCUUGUUGGUUACCUCAACCCUGCCCACACCUCUGCAAAUAGUCCCUUCAUUAAAUUAUCUUCAAAAUCCCA